rnacentral:tRNA from 1 species
GAUAGGGUGUGAAGGCUAUUUAGAAGGACUUAAAAUCCCUUGGCGCUUGUCGCCGUGCGGGUUCGAGCCCCGCCCCGGGCACCA